AAGCCUUGCGUGUGUGGAUAUAACUAUUCUACUUUGAAACUGCUAAUGGCUCAUUAGAUCAUUUAUAAUUUAUUUGAUGAAUUGUACUACUUGGAUAACCGUAUUAAUUCUAUAGCGAUACUUGAUCAAUUCCUCCAGUUUGAAGAUGGGUAUUUAUUAGAAUGAGCCCACUUCACUCUGUCUGUUUGUGACUAACAUAACUUGUCAUAUCGCAUGCUUAGGUAUCUAUGUGUCUUUUAACUUUCAUGCCUAUCCUCUUUCCUUGGAAUUGUAGUGGACUACCAUG
rnacentral:rRNA from 1 species